rnacentral:rRNA from 1 species
GACGAACGCUGGCGGCGUGCUUAACACAUGCAAGUCGUACGGUAACGCCCUUUCGGGGGUACACGAGUGGCGAACGGUUGCGUAACACUUGAGUAACCUGCCCACUACUUUUUGAUAUCGCUAGUAACCUGGUGCUACUACUGCAUAUAUGCUCCUGCUGCUUCGUGUGGGUUGGAAAGCUCCGGCGGUGGUGGGUGGACUCGCGGCCUAUCGGCUUGUUGGUGAGGUAGUGGCCUACCAGGGCGGCGACGGGUAGCCCGCCUGAGAGGGUGACCGGCCACAGUGGGACUGAGAGACGGCCCAGACGCCUACGGGAGGCAGAAGUGGGGAAGAUUGAACAAGGGGCGCAAGCCGGAUGCAGCAACGCCGCGGGCGGGAUGACGGCCUUCUGGUUGUAAAACGCUUUCAGCAGGGACGAAGCUUGUUGUGACGGUACCUAAAGAAGAAGCACCGGCUAACUACGUG